CACGUAGGGGACGAGCGUUGUCCGGAUUCAUUGGGCGUAAAGCGCGCGUAGGCGGCUCGGAAAGUCGGGCGUGAAAUGCCGGGGCUCAACCCCGAGACUGCGUCCGAUACUUCCGAGCUGGAGGUAGGUAGGGGAGAGUCGGAAUUCCUGGAUGUGAGCGGUGGAAAUGACGCAGACGUAUCAGGAGGAACACCGGUGGCGAAGGCGGAUCUCUGGGCCUUACCUGACGCUGAGGCGCGAAAGCUAGGGGAGCGAACAGG
rnacentral:rRNA from 1 species